rnacentral:rRNA from 1 species
UGGGGAAUAUUGGGCAAUGGAGGCAACUCUGACCCAGCAACGCCGCGUGAAGGAUGAAGGUUUUCGGAUUGUAAACUUCUGUCGCAGGGGACGAAGAAUGACGGUACCCUGUAAGAAAGCCACGGCAAACUACGUGCCAGCAGCCGCGGUAAUACGUAGGUGGCAAGCGUUGUCCGGAAUGACUGGGUGUAAAGGGAGUGUAGGCGGCGAUUUAAGUUAUAUGUGAAAGCCCCGGGCUUAACUCGGGAACUGCAUAUAAGACUGGAUUGCUUUGAGUGCGGGAGAGGUAAGUGGAAUUCCUAGUGUAGCGGUGGAAUGCGUAGAUAUUAGGAGGAACACCAGUGGCGAAGGCGACUUACUGGACCGUAACUGACGCUGAGACUCGAAAGCGUGGGGAUCAAACA